rnacentral:rRNA from 1 species
GUGGGGAAUAUUGCACAAUGGGCGAAAGCCUGAUGCAGCGACGCCGCGUGCGGGAUGAAGGCCUUCGGGUUGUAAACCGCUUUUGUUAGGGAGCAAGCGAGAGUGAGUGUACCUUUCGAAUAAGCACCGGCUAACUACGUGCCAGCAGCCGCGGUAAUACGUAGGGUGCAAGCGUUAUCCGGAAUUAUUGGGCGUAAAGAGCUCGUAGGCGGUUUGUCGCGUCUGGUGUGAAAGUCCAUCGCUUAACGGUGGAUCUGCGCCGGGUACGGGCAGGCUGGAGUGCAGUAGGGGAGACUGGAAUUCCCGGUGUAACGGUGGAAUGUGUAGAUAUCGGGAAGAACACCAAUGGCGAAGGCAGGUCUCUGGGCUGUUACUGACGCUGAGGAGCGAAAGCGUGGGGAGCGAACAGGAUUAGAUACCCCUGUAGUCC